rnacentral:rRNA from 1 species
GUGGCGAACGGGUGAGUAAUAUAUCGGAACGUACCCUGGAGUGGGGGAUAACGUAGCGAAAGUUACGCUAAUACCGCAUACGAUCUAAGGAUGAAAGUGGGGGAUCGCAAGACCUCAUGCUCCUGGAGCGGCCGAUAUCUGAUUAGCUAGUUGGUAGGGUAAAAGCCUACCAAGGCAUCGAUCAGUAGCUGGUCUGAGAGGACGACCAGCCACACUGGAACUGAGACACGGUCCAGACUCCUACGGGAGGCAGCAGUGGGGAAUUUUGGACAAUGGGCGCAAGCCUGAUCCAGCAAUGCCGCGUGAGUGAAGAAGGCCUUCGGGUUGUAAAGCUCUUUUGUCAGGGAAGAAACGGGUCUUUCUAAUACAGAGAUCUAAUGACGGUACCUGAAGAAUAAGCACCGGCUAACUACGUGCCAGCAGCCGCGGUAAUACGUAGGGUGCAAGCGUUAAUCGGAAUUACUGGGCGUAAAGCGUGCGCAGGCGGUUUUGUAAGACUGUCGUGAAAUCCCCGGGCUCAACCUGGGAAUGGCGAUGGUGACUGCAAGGCUAGAGUUUGGCAGAGGGGGGUAGAAUUCCACGUGUAGCAGUGAAAUGCGUAGAUAUGUGGAGGAACACGAAUGGCGAAGGCAGCCCCCUGGGUCAAAACUGACGCUCAUGCACGAAAGCGUGGGGAGCAAACAGGAUUAGAUACCCUGGUA